GACGAACCGUCCAAACGUUAUUCGGAAUCACUGGGCUUAAAGGGUGCGUAGGCGGCUCAGAAAGUAGGGUGUGAAAGCCCUCGGCUCAACCGAGGAAUUGCGCCCUAAACUACUGAGCUUGAGGGAGACAGAGGUAAGCGGAACUUAGGGUGGAGCGGUGAAAUGCGUUGAUAUCCUAAGGAACACCAGGAGCGAAAGCGGCUUACUGGGUCUCUUCUGACGCUGAGGCACGAAAGCUAGGGGAGCGAACGGG
rnacentral:rRNA from 1 species